AGGUUGCUGGGGCUGCGCUGCGCCCGCCCUCCGCCCGGGCCCCGGCGCCCGAGGCAGCUGCGCGCUCCCUCCCGGAGCGCUGGAGACAGAUAUGCAAGAUGGCAGAGGAGGGGGAAAGCCAAUAGAAAAGGGAUAUUGCACCUACUUGUGGCCAGUUUCCUUGCCCUGCCUUUGGAUCUCAUGCUGUGCCCAGUCCUGCAGCCGCUGGAGAUUUUCUAUACCAUCCACGGAGAAAGCGAGAAGUGGGGCUUUUGAGACCUUUUCCGUGCUAAAGAACGAGAAGCACAGGACUCUUGACAAAUGAUCCAGGAGAAAGUGAGAAUCAUCCUGAACUUCAGGAAAUCUGCUGCUGCCGCUCCUACUGCUGCUGGAGCUAUUGCGGCUUGUGCUUUCAGAGUUGAAAGCAGAAUUAAGUAGCUGUUUUCUUCCUUGAUGUUAGGAUUUGCCAAUGAAGUGGGCACACAGAAACGGGGAAAUCCUAAAGGGGCCAGCUGUGUUCAAGAGCUGUGUAAUUCUGGAAGCAUGUGGCUGAAGGAUACAGGUCCCUGGAGAACCAAGUACAGGUCCCAAGAGAGACAGAUGUGAAAUGUUGAAAUGUGGGGGAAAGAAAGGAAGCAAAGGAAAGAAUUACGCAGAGCAGGAGUAAAACAACUUCCCAAAGAGAAGGUUCUGGUGGUGUACUUAAGCACAACAGAGGUGGGUGCAAAAGCAUCAGGCACUUCAACAUUCUGAGUGUGGAUACCCAGAGGUCUGUGAGUGUGAGUUCACAGGCUCCUCUCAGUUUAGAUGGAGUCGUGCCUCCCCUCUGACCAGUAAGUGUUCUCCCAGGAAAAGAGAAGUGGGGGAUUGAGAACCUUUAGAAAGGGAAUAAAAUCUCUAGGGAGAGAAACGCCUCGCUGGCCGGCAGGACGAUCAGAGAAGCAGUUUAAGGACUCCCUGGGGACCCCCACUUAGACCAAAGGACAGAGAGGCUGCACUGGAGCAUCAGACCCCUCCCAACCAUCAAGAACCUCCAGAGCCCAGUCCCCCGGGAGAGAAGGAAGCCCCCAUGGGGAGGAGGAGCUCCCAGGACAGUAGGAGGCUCAGCCUGGGACUUUUCACCUUCUCAGCCUGGGGAUGCUUUAAAAAAAUAAUAAAAAGAGUUCCUAUCCUC